UAUGAACCACACAUCAUACUUCUGAGGAGCUGUGGCUUUUCUUCCCCUCAAAUCUCAGAUAAUAAAUCCUUUAAAAAAAAAAGAACCCAGAUAUAACCAAGUGUGAACGGACACACUGACUGUACACGGUCCAUGCAGAGGAUUGUGGGACGGCGGUGAGACUGUGAAAGUAUCAGUGUUCCAAAGAUGUGGCUGAUAAUGAGUGGAGUUGGAAUUCUGGUCCUGUCUACACUUUGGUUGAAACUUUGAUUCAUUGCUGAAUAAUAAGCUGUUAGAAAGUACAGAAAGCAGAGCUACAUCAGGUGAGAAGCUAAAACAUUUGACGGUCUCUAAAAGACAAAUCAGGGAAAAGAGGACAGUCUCAGUCUCUGACAGCCAGAACUGCACCAAGAGUUUGAAUUUGCUUGUGUUUUUGUUGUUGUUGUUGUUGUUGCUAAAAGGUUGCCUUUUUUUUAGUCUUCAAUCAAAGCCGUGCUCUGGAGAAGAGAGGACAGGGGGCGCUAUGACAAGUGUUGUGAGAACACUGACACUGUAAAUGCACUUUAGAGGGUGUUUAAUAAGUGACAUCGGCCACAUUUUUUUAUUCCCAGCUUCUGGUCAGGUUUCAGAUGAUUUUACUGGUUUUUAUUAUUUACUAUUGAAUUCCCAAAUCCAAACAUCAACAACACUCCAGGAUAUCCAACUUCUGCUUCGUUAACUCUUAAUUACAUAUAUAAAAUGCUUAGCAGACGUUGCACAUUCUGUAUACGUAAUUAAUAUUUAAAUAACUUAUUUCUUUUUUUUUCUUCCCCACUUCGACUGUAAUUAGCUGUACCAUAUAAAUAGCAAAAAUCUUCCUGCAUAUUGCUUUAGCCAGUGAGGAAACUACAGUAUGUAUUGUAAAAUAUGUGUAAAAAAAUUAUUUUAUUUGGUUUUCAUCUACCUAAUGAUUGUUCAUACAGAUAUGCUUGUGUAUUGAAACGACAAAGUCAUGUCCAUAACUGUCUUUCUUAAAUAUAAUAAAAACUGUUUCAUGACAAACA